ensembl:snoRNA small nucleolar RNA SNORD66
CUCCAGUGAUGACCUCCACUUUUGCGCCACGUGUCUGGGCCACUGAUAUACUCUGUUCAUCGAUUUGCCAUUUCUGCAG